rnacentral:rRNA from 1 species
CCUACGGGGGGCAGCAGUGAGGAAUAUUGGUCAAUGGCCGCAGGGCUGAACCAGCCAAGUCGCGUGAGGGAUGACGGUCCUAUGGAUUGUAAACCUCUUUUGUCAGGGGACAAAAUCAGGCUCGAGAGCCUGACCGAGGGUACUUGAAGAAAAAGCAUCGGCUAACUCCUUGCCAGCGGCCGGGGUAAUACGGAGGAUGCGAGCGUUAUCCGGAUUUAUGGGGUUUAGAGGGUGCGUAGGCGGGCUGUUAAGUUAGCGGUAAAAGCCCGGGGCUAAACCCCGGCGAGCCGUUGAAACUGGGUGUCUUGAGAUGUCGAGAGGUAUGCGGAAUGCGCAGUGUAGCGGUGAAAUGCUUAGAUAUUGCGCAGAACUCCGAUUGCGAAGGCAGCAUACCGGCGGCGAUCUGACGCUGAGGCACGAAAGCGUGGGUAUCGAACAGGAUUAGAUACCCUGGUAGUC